GCAAGUCGAACGGUAACAGGCCGCUGUGAUCUCUUCGGAGUGAACUUGGCGCUGACGAGUGGCGGACGGGUGAGUAAUACAUAGGAAUCUACCCAAUAGUGGGGGAUAACUUGGAGAAAUCCAUGCUAAUACCGCAUAUGUCCUACGGGGCAAAGCAGGGGACCCUCGGGCCUCGCACUAUUGGAUGAGCCUAUGUCAGAUUAGCUUGUUGGUGGGGUAAUGGCCUACCAAGUCUACGAUCUUUAGCUGGUUUGAGAGGAUGAUC
rnacentral:rRNA from 1 species